CAACAAUGAACAAUGGUAUCUUUUCUGGAUACACGAGCUUCCAUAGCAUCAAAUUGUAUUGGUCUAAACUUUCGAUGUCCAAAUACAUUUUUUUUUAAUUUCUAGACAUGUUAUAUUAUUUGAAAAGCUCUGGUUUGCAGCACCGUCUAUUGAAAUUCUUUCUGGAGUUGUAGGCAAUGUUCCACUGUCAACAGUUUCUCAGCGAUUUUUGGUAGCAACAGUAAUGGCAUCAUUGGAACAAUUUAUAUCAUUGCCAAAUGACACUUUGUAUUCUGUGUACAUUAGUUCAUGCUAGAUUGACACAUCAUCCACG